GCCAAGCACAGUGGCGCAUGCUUGUAAUCCCAGCAGCUUGGGAGGCUGAGGCAGGAGGAUCACGAGUUCAAAGCCAGCCUCAG
rnacentral:sRNA from 1 species